UACGUAGGGGGCAAGCGUUGUCCGGAAUUAUUGGGCGUAAAGAGCGUGUAGGCGGCCAGAUAAGUCCGCUGUGAAAUCUCGAGGCUCAACUUCGAGCUGUCGGUGGAAACUAUCUGGCUAGAGUCCGGAAGAGGAGAAUGGAAUUCCUGGUGUAGCGGUGGAAUGCGCAGAUAUCAGGAAGAACACCCGUGGCGAAGGCGGUUCUCUGGGACGGUACUGACGCUGAGACGCGAAAGCGUGGGGAGCGAACAGG
rnacentral:rRNA from 1 species